rnacentral:antisense_RNA from 1 species
GAACACAAAAUGGCGACACGUGGUUAGCAUUCGUCGCCAACGAGAAAUUGGGGUCGGCCCGAAAGCUCUAGAAUGCACCCCUAUUCCUCCCCGGGGCCAUUCCCGCUCAACGAGUUUUAUGACCUAAAAAACCCCACAGGCUGGUCUGAAGAGGAAGACACUUAAAGAUGAAGUGCUUAAUUCAAGGUCACAGAAUGUCGGGGAUGGACCUCCAGAUUUCCUUACUGGUCAUAGAAUUUUCCACACUCCUUGACGGAGGUUCUUAACCCUUAUCCAUCAGCAUUCUCAGACAGCACCUCCGGUUAGGGACAGUAUCUGACCGUCCGACAUCCCUGCAGCCCCCAUGCUGUCACACAGACUCAGCCUCAGGUAGAUGGUUUCCGUAGAUGGUGGCUUUCUUUGGACCCUUGAUAUCAACCAGUUACUAUUUGGGGACCAGAUGUGCAGAGGUAAUGAAUACCAGGGAAUCAGGAAACCACUGGAUCAGUUCUUUGAGCCAUAGAACAACACUCAUCCCAGCAGCUGGGAAGCUAUCUGCAAAAGUCCAUCUGCAGAAAGGGCUUCCUGGUCUUGCGUGUGGCUGGGCCAUUUCUCUGGAUGCAGGUUUUUCAUUAUACAGUCUUCUCAAAGGACCA